GAGAGAUCACGAAAGGGGAGGAAGCUUGGGGAAAAGAGCAGCUCAUGAAGAAGAAUUGAGGGGAGAGAGAAUCACUGCUGUGAAGUCAUCCUGGGUUUGCAGUUAGAGCCUGUUGCUGGAACCUGCAGUCCUAGUCUAGUUCUCCAUUUUUCUCUGUCAUUUAUGACCCUACUGCUUUAGAAGUCUUGCUUGAAGAAGGACUUUAAGAUUAUCUGAGCCUUGCAGCUGAGGAGACUGGACCUGAGUUCUAAAUCACCUUCUGCACUGUGUACCUGCCCUCCACGCAAGCAGCUGCUGCCCUUCAACUGCAGCCACUGCCAAGUUCCCUGUCCUGCCCCUGCAGCAGGAAGGUGGAUGGGAGAUGGCUGAAUAGAUUCUGCCCAAACUGGGCCCAUGAGAGCAGGCAGGGAGGCUUUUCCCUGUGCUCAGCAGUAUGGAGGGGAAGAGAGCAUCCAGAUCGCACUGCUGCAAUGACUCUGAGCUCCCAGUCAGGCCUGGCCUCACAUCUACACCCAAAUAUCUUGGAGUUAUUUUUUUCAAGUAUUGAAGGUCUAUUUUCUUUCCUGAUCUGCAGAGUACCAGGGCUGUUUUCUGAGGCAAAGACUGAACAAACAUAGACAUAAAGCCUUGCCUUUUAAGGACAAUUUCCACACUAAAACUCAAGCUCCAUGUUAUUCUCUUAGCACUAGACAUGGGGUAAGACCUUUUAUCCCCAUCACUCAUUCCUGAUUUAAGCAGCAGAUUCAUCACUGUUAUAGGAAUGAUUCUCUGGCAGUACUGUUAACAAAACCUGUUAAAAGAGCAAGUGGGCCAGGAAGGAGUAAUGGGGUUUUUUACUUUCUAAAUUGAUCAUUUAGCAAUCUGGGUACAAUCAAAGACUUGAAUCAGCCCAAUUGAGGGAACCCUCUCAGAACUGAUGACAAAAAAGGCUUUGAAACUUCUUAAACUAGGUUGGUCAAUAAAAGGGUUGUAACAUGGA